rnacentral:rRNA from 1 species
GGUUACUGCUAUCGGUGUUCGCCUAAGCCAUGCGAGUCAUAUGUAGCAAUACAUGGCGUACUGCUCAGUAACACGUGGAUAACCUGCCCUUGGGUCCGGCAUAACCCCGGGAAACUGGGGAUAAUUCCGGAUAACGCACAUAUGCUGGAAUGCUUUUUGCGUAAAAUGGAUUCGUCUGCCCAAGGAUGGGUCUGCGGCCUAUCAGGUAGUAGUGGGUGUAAUGUACCUACUAGCCUACGACGGGUACGGGUUGUGAGAGCAAGAGCCCGGAGAUGGAUUCUGAGACAUGAAUCCAGGCCCUACGGGGCGCAGCAGGCGCGAAAACUUUACAAUGCGGGAAACCGUGAUAAGGGGACACCGAGUGCCAGCAUCCUAUGCUGGCUGUCCGGGUGUGUAAAAUACACCUGUUAGCAAGGGCCGGGCAAGACCGGUGCCAGCCGCCGCGGUAACACCGGCGGCCCGAGUGGUGAUCGUGAUUAUUGGGUCUAAAGGGUCCGUAGCCGGUUUGGUCAGUCCUCCGGGAAAUCUGACAGCUCAACUGUUAGGCUAUCGGAGGAUACUGCCAGACUUGGAACCGGGAGAGGUAAGAGGUACUACAGGGGUAGGAGUGAAAUCUUGUAAUCCCUGUGGGACCACCUGUGGCGAAGGCGUCUUACCGGAACGGGUUCGACGGUGAGGGACGAAAGCUGGGGGCACGAACCGGAUUAGAUACCCGGGUAGUCCCAGCCGUAAACGAUGCUCGCUAGGUGUCAGGCAUGGCGCGACCGUGUCUGGUGCCGCAGGGAAGCCGUGAAGCGAGCCACCUGGGAAGUACGGCCGCAAGGCUGAAACUUAA